ACGCUCGACACCUACGGGAAGGCAGCAGUGGGGAAUAUUGGGCAAUGGGCGAAAGCCUGACCCAGCAACGCCGCGUGAGGGAAGAAGGUUUUCGGAUUGUAAACCUCUGUCCUCAGGGACGAAGGACGUGACGGUACCUGAGGAGGAAGCCCCGGCUAACUACGUGCCAGAGCCGCGGUAAUCUGAGCGGGCUGGCAAGGC
rnacentral:rRNA from 1 species